GCCUCUUUGGCUCAGUUGGUUAGAGCGCAGGUCUCAUAGAAAUAUGUCGCAAGUCCAUGCUUGUGGUAAUCCUGAGGUCAACAGUUCGAACCUGUUAAGGGGCA